rnacentral:rRNA from 1 species
UACAGAGGGUGCAAGCGUUAAUCGGAAUUACUGGGCAUAAAGCGUGCGUAGACGGUAGCGUAAGUCGGGUGUGAAAGCCCCGGGCUCAACCUGGGAAUUGCAUUCGAGACUGCUCUGCUAGGGUGCGGAAGAGGGGAGCGGAAUUUCCGGUGUAGCGGUGAAAUGCGUAGAUAUCGGAAGGAACACCAGUGGCGAAAGCGGCUCCCUGGUCCAGCACCGACGUUCAGGCACGAAAGCGUGGGGAGCAAACAGG